rnacentral:rRNA from 1 species
UACGAAGGGGGCUAGCGUUGCUCGGAAUCACUGGGCGUAAAGCGCACGUAGGCGGCUUGCUAAGUCAGGGGUGAAAGCCUGGAGCUCAACUCCAGAACUGCCUUUGAUACUGGCGAUCUUGAGUCCGGGAGAGGUGAGUGGAACUGCGAGUGUAGAGGUGAAAUUCGUAGAUAUUCGCAAGAACACCAGUGGCGAAGGCGGCUCACUGGCCCGGUACUGACGCUGAGGUGCGAAAGCGUGGGGAGCAAACAGG